rnacentral:rRNA from 1 species
AUUGAACGCUGGCGGCAGGCCUAACACAUGCAAGUCGAACGGUAACGGGAAGAAGCUUGCUUCUUUGCUGACGAGUGGCGGACGGGUGAGUAAUGUCUGGGAAACUGCCUGAUGGAGGGGGAUAACUACUGGAAACGGUAGCUAAUACCGCAUAACGUCGCAAGACCAAAGAGGGGGACCUUCGGGCCUCUUGCCAUCGGAUGUGCCCAGAUGGGAUUAGCUAGUAGGUGGGGUAACGGCUCACCUAGGCGACGAUCCCUAGCUGGUCUGAGAGGAUGACCAGCCACACUGGAACUGAGACACGGUCCAGACUCCUACGGGAGGCAGCAGUGGGGAAUAUUGCACAAUGGGCGCAAGCCUGAUGCAGCCAUGCUGCGUGUAUGAAGAAGGCCUUCGGGUUGUAAAGUACUUUCAGCGGGGAGGAAGGGAGUAAAGUUAAUACCUUUGCUCAUUGACGUUACCCGCAGAAGAAGCACCGGCUAACUCCGUG